GUUUUAACCAGACAGAUCAUUUUACAAACUUAUUUUUAUUCUCCCAAAACUUCAUACUUUUCAAAACGUUUCAAAACUUCAAGUCUCAAACCUUUACCAAAACUCUUUAAAUCUACCUCUUAAAUAAAUUUCGGGACGAAAUUUCCUAAAGGAGGGGAGACUGUAACGCCUCACGUUUUGAAACUUACUUUAAUUAGAAGGAUUAUUUAUGUACCUAUUUUGGGAGCUUACGUCCGUAUCGAAUUCGUAUUUCGCUUCUGUUUUCGUUAUUCGAAACUUUGUUCGUAAUAAAAUUUAAUAUUAUGUACAAAAUUAUACCUUGUAUAAUUAUUUAUACCUGUACAUUUAAAUCCGUCUAUACACUCGUCACCUAAAAUUAUUCGAUGUACUUACCUCUUGUAAAGAAAUGUGCUUAAUUUACGCACACAAUCGCGAAUACGUGAAUCCAUACGCUUCUUUCGUGCAAACGCUUGAUUCUACGUCCGCAACACAUGACCCAUACUUUAUUCUUAUACCAACUUAUUUCUUUUAAAUUUAAACAUUAACAUAUAUAUAUAAAGCUAAAUCAAAUAUUUGAUCUCAUAUAAAUGUUACCUAUAUAAAUAUUACAUAUUGCCACUAAUCAAAUGAGGGGAUUGAUAAAAAAAAAAAAAGGAAAUUGAAUAGAUACUUGUUGAUGGCCGAAACCAAUCAACAGCCCAUUUUAUUACAAAGACCACCAUUUCCUAAGCCAUGAGGACUAAGUGGCAACAACAACAAAAUAAAGAAUUUCCAUGGCUAUUAAACAGCUAUACUGAUCGCAGCCCAUGUGCUGUUAUAUUUGUCCAUUUUUUUUAAUAUAAGUAAUAUUAUAAUACAUUCAAUGCUCCACUAAUAUGUAUAAAUAUAUGUCAAAAAAAAAAAACGAAAAGGUAGACAGGACUACCGGCCGCAAGUAUCAAGCAACAACAAUUUGUUUUUUUUGUUUACUUCCACACCCCAACUAAUUAUUAAAUGCCAAUCCAUUUAAACCUACCUAUAAAUACUCUUUAUAACUUUC
rnacentral:lncRNA from 1 species